AGCUUUGCGCAGUGGCAGUAUCGUAGCCUAUGAGGUCUAUCCGAGGCGCGAUUAUUGCUAGUUGAAAACUUUACCCAAUACCCCGCCUUGAUGACUUGAAAUAUAGUCGGCAACGGCAAUUUUUGACAGUCUCUAAGGAGA
ensembl:snRNA U4 U4 spliceosomal RNA